GGAGGAUGAACAACUGGAAUGAAGAUUUUAGACAUAGAUGAGUUGUUUAAGCAAUUUGUUGUUCAUCUUUGGUAAUUAACAUUUAGCAGCUGGGGAUACUGCUAGCACUGCUAGUCACACACUUCUAAGAGACAUCAUCAGCCCCAAAAGUACCUAUAGGAAAACAAUUUGAGCCCAUAGAGAUAGAGGUUUCCUACUGAGAAUGUGUUUCCAGUACACUGUAUGAAUUCUUGAAGCAGAAAUCAAUGAGCUUGUAUCUGGAAUUGGAGAAAUAACAGCGUGGUGUUUUGUGUUGUCAUAGGAAGCUGUCUUGGUCUACUUUGACCAGACCCUUUGCUCUGCUCACCUACACUUACAGCUUCCCACACCUGCAACAGGACGGAGCAGUGCCCCUAUCACUGACACAGGUGUUUCUAGAAACACAGAGCAGUGCUCUGUAAAAUUGGUCAUGUUUCAAAAUACAUUAACACCUGCAGGUUAGUGAACCCUCACCUCUUUCUUACCAGGUUCUGCUCAGAUACUCACGCUUUUCAACGCUUCUGAAAAAAUACCUGGCUACACUUUUCUCUUGGUUCCCUUUCCUUCCCCAGGGUAGACCACAGUACUUUAAUGGAGCUGAAGUAGCUGUGCUUUGGGCAUAAAACUGUGGGAAAUGCUGUGUUUGCUAAUGGGAUUUGACAUGACCUCUUCUGGUCUGGGUGAGAUGGCAGAGAGAAUGAAGUUUAAUAUUGAAGUAGCACAGAUAUAGAGAAGAUGCCACUGUAGGUCAUUUUGUCCUACGCUUUCGUUCAGGCAGGGCCGAAUACAACAGAUCUCUAUUCUUGAAAGGCUGUUUGACAUUUCUGUCUUCUGCAGUGGUUUGUACUCACUUGCUGAUGCAACAGCCUUUGCUCAGUUUGAAAGGUAAGGAAAGAAUAGAUAGAUGUCCUUGAUAUGCAUCAUAGCAAUAACUUCCUCUGACUGGUGUAGGUCAGUACAUCAGCGUUCAGAGCUGAGUCCUGUAGAUGAGUAGCAGUUAAAAUUCAUACAGCUUUUAAUAUGCCCUGGGGUGGCUAGAUUUUAAUUACGCUAACGCCUGCCCCUUCUCUUUGAUGUGCACUGGUUAAUUCUUUUGAUGCACUCUCACCUGUGCCGGUGAUAUUGUGCACUUGACAGGAACAGAUCAGUGUAUACCAACCCGCUUCCCAAGGCAGGGAGUCAGGCGUGCACUCAGCUGUUUCCUUUUUGUUGUGGUUAUUGUUUUAAAUGUCAUUAGUGAAGCAUGAAAAUAUUCUUUUUCUGAGGGGUUUUGAUGAAUUUGUCGUGGUCUAGAGCACAGCAAGAUGAUUUUCCUCUGCUCUGCUACCAUGUAUGAGUGGUACUUGGGUAUUUCCCCUUUUGCCCUGGAAACCAUCUGACAGUUUCUCUCUGGGCACUGGCAGCAUCUGGUAGUCUGUGGGCAUAUUUAUCUUCGUCUGAUGCCCCUUUCACCCUGCCUUUCCUUUGGCUUGUGCUGUAUUUUGCUUUUCCAUAAUAGAAUUUGCCAUUCUGUGUUCUUCUCAGGUCUGUUGUCGCUGUUGCUGUUUGACAGUGUAAAAUAGUCAGAAGGUUCUGCAGAAAAGCCUGUCAGAUGGGUUAAGCUAACGACCCCCUUAGUUAUGAUUCCUAGUGAUCUUCAGUUGAUUUGGCAGUAGAAGUAAUUUAAGAAGUGAACUGCUUAUUAAAAUGACCACUGCUGCAUAUAUCUGUACUCAGUAAUUGAUACAGAUUAGCCAGGAGUUACUGUCGCUUUUGCUAAUGGAUUAAUCCUGGAAAGCUGAAUGCUUUUUUUUUUUUCUCGGGAGCAGCUCUGAACUAAAGUCUGUAGUCGCUGCAGGCUUCUGUGUCUGUCCUGUGCAGUGUCUCCUUAUUCAGACUCCUUAAAGGAUCAAUGCAUUCAAAAUCUCUUCUGAAAGAGACACGAGCCGCGCAGUUAUAAUGGUACAUUUCAGCCGAAAAUGCCCUCGGAGCGCAGGCAUGAAAACAACCUCCCAGUUAUAAGCACAGAACAGCUGUGAGGUUUAGAAUGAAUGGGGAUUUAAUUUCAUUUUAUUCUAUAUUGCAUGUGGAAGCAUGCCAGGGCAAGCACGCUGUGCAUGCACUGUCGAGGGGCUUGCAGCAGUAGUUCUGUAUGUAAGGCAGCAGCCUCGAGUUAUUUCACCAAUUCAGUUUAGGUGUGGAUGUUCUUGGGAAUGCACGCGUUUACCAGCAGAGGGCAUGCAGGCUUCAUUCAGUGGGGACGUGCUAAUUAAUAAAUCUCAGAUGCAGGUGGGUGUGUACCUGCAUCUACAGCAUUCCCAGACAAAGCGCUCAUUCGACUGUGCCAAAAUUGCCCACUGUGGCCAUCGUGUGUUAUCUGAAACAGGCAGGAAGUGAGGAGGCAUGAAGCACAUGUUGGGAAUUACAUAAUCUGUCAUCAAACCACGGUCAUGUUUCGUGUUCGUGCUUAGUCAGACCGUGGCAGUGAUUAGGGUUGACUAAACGUUACUGUGCCUCUCAUUUUUUCCAUUGUGAGGCAUCUGCGAGCUCUGUUGAUCGUUAAAGUCUCCAUCUAGGCAGUGACUUGUAUUGUGGAUCAGGCCCGUAAUGAACUAGAGGAAGUCAGGGAGAGGGAGUCAGCAGUUUUUGUAAUAUAUUAGCAGAGGAUUACUGGGAAAUGUGAACUUAAAAGGAACGCUAUCUGCAUUUUCGGAACAAAAUCAAAGGAACCGUACUGCAGAUCUUCUGUUUUAUCCUGCCCGAUGCACUUGCAGUACAUUCAUAAUCUUCAUAAAGGAGAAAAUGAAUUGGUGAAAUAGGCUGUUUUAUGAUAAUAUCCCAUAUGUUAUCAGAUUCAUGCAGGCAGAAUCACACUAAUGAAGAGAAAUUGUGGUUUAUGUAGGGCUCGCAGGCCUCACUCAGGCAGAUUAACAGUGGCUGGGGUAAGAGGCAGCGCACUGCCUUGGCAGGCUGCCCGUGAGCUAAUCAAUGCAGAUGGAGUCAACAGGACUGCCGGUCUGAUUCCCAACAGUUUCAUCUCAGAACAGGAAUGACUGCAUCCAUCAGUGCUCCUUGAUAAGGCAUCCUUUAAGCUCGGGCUCAUCGCACAGAAGAGGUGCCCAUCCCCCUGUGAGAGCAGCUGCCCAGUGCUCAAGUACAUCCCAGGCUGGAUAUCCAUCGUUCCUCAGGGUGGCACUGGAAGCGACGAAGGGCUCAAUGGGUGCUGGAAAGACCAAUGUGUUAUUGACUGAUCUGUCCUCGGUAUGAACUCUGAUUAAAGCAAGUAUUUCCCAAAUUUUGGAUGAAAGAGCUUGUAUACAAAUAAAGGCAGGAUGAGUGCUCCUUGGGAUGGUGUGACUGCAUAAAUAAGCAGUUCUUCAGUGCAGCAUGUGGUUUUCUCAUUUCCAGUAAAACUGAAUGAAUCACACAUGACAGCACCACCGCCACUAACCAGUGUGGCAUGGCAUCUGAGAAAGAUAGCGCUGGAAGGGUGUGAACUGGAGAGCAGAUGAUGGGCUUUGAAACAACUUGUUUGCUUUGGCAGGAUAACUGAAAUCUUGAUGCUUUCCCACAAUCUGCUCUAAGGAUGUAGGUUUUUGCUGUGCUGUAUCAGAUUAUUACUCUGGGAAUUUGUGUGUCCUGCCUUUGCCAGUGGACAGCCCUCGAUGCUUCAGAUAAAUUCCCAGAUUCCCCACAGGGGAAUUCCAAAGUUAGAUGAUGUUUCUUCAAGUGGGGUUUACAUUACUGCAGAAUUACCGGGGGUAAUUCUCUCUCCCAUACCAAAUCAUAAAGGAUCCAUCUACUCAGUCAGGCAAACAAAGGUCCAAGGCUGCUCAGGUUCAGGCUCACAUACCAUACAUUCUAUUUAUAUGUAAGUACAUGCUCUGGUAUGAGCCUUAGGUCAAGUGCACUCCAGAGGGAUGUCCUAGCCUUGGCCAUAUCCUAGCCCAGCCCUAAGCUUUGUCACCCCGGAGGUGGGACCAGGCUGGAACUGGGAGCACUGCAGCUGCCAGGAGUGGAUCUGGUGGUUUCCCUGCUCUUUGAGCACAAGAGCCAUGUGAACCCCAGUCAGGUGAGAACCAGCUCUGUGGCAUAUGGGCCGUGGCCUUUGACCAGCUCAAGCACUCUCCAUGUUGUUGAGGCAGCAGCAGUUCUCCAGUUCUCAGCUAAAGCUGAGCAGACAGCCGUCCUUUGACCUCCAUACCAGAGCUCUGUUUCUGACCCUGCUUGGCAGUGCAGCCUCGCAGCAGCAGAACUCCCCAUGCCAACAGCUGCUUAACCCUAGCUCUGAGAUGACACAUCUCAAAAGGUGGGGGCCUAAAUUAAAGAGAUUAAAAGAAAAACAACCCCCUUCUCUUUAUGUCUUUUCUCAUGCCUUCAGAAUUAGGAAUCAAAUCUUCUGAUGCUAAUACAGAAGAAAAACUGAAGCUUCUUGUCCAGGAUGUCUGCUUGUGAAAGGCAGGUGGGAAGAGGAUGCAAGGAGACUUUUUUCUCCUCCUGACAUUCCCAAACCCAGUGCUUCCAAGUACUGUAUUGUACAAAGCUAAUGAUGAUGUGCUAGGCAUCCAGCAGUAUAUUUUCAUGGGGUUACGUUGUUCCUCCAUCAGCAAGGUCUGUACUCAGGGCUCAGUAAUAACAGCAGCAUAAGCUGCAGUUUCAUGUCCUGUGAUUGGAGAUUGGCUGUGACAGAAAUGCCUGUCGUCCUCGCAUCUGAUGGAGGCAGAAGGGUAUGUGAAACAAUGGCUCUGCCAGCAGAUGUGGUUCUGUAGGGACAGUGGUGUCUGUGGUACGAAAGUUCCCUCCCGAAAUACAGAUCUGUGGGAACAGUGAGUGUCUGUGUCAGUGACAACUUUGCAGCAUCUGCUGGGACAGUAAUGUCUGUGAUACUUAAGUGUAUCUCUGCAUCUGCUGGGUCAGUCAGAGAGAGAUGUAUUGUGUAUGUCCAGUCUUAGAUGUGAAAAUCGCCUUCACUUCCCUUUAAUCUGGGGAAUCUGUUUGAUUCUUUUUCCCACAGUGUGAAUAAGAACCAUUUGAUGCACGAAGAGCUAAAGGUAUUUAUGAGCCUUUUCCAUGUAGGAGAGGCACUGCCACACUGCAGCUGCCAAGAAAUACUGCUACAUUUUCUCCUACCGUAGUAUUAAUCAUUAAUGGUUUUGUCCUCAAUGAACAGCCCGAGUAUCUUCAAUGAUGCUCUUGUGAGUGCUAACGCUUUGUGGUUGCAGUGAGAGCAUCACGUGAGAAAUCUGUUUGUUUAGAGCAGAGAUGCACCACAACCACAGCGUUCUCAGACCAGCUUUCAAAUGUUCCUACAGACAGUUGUAUGCAGAUAAAGAUUUUUACUUUGGGCCCAUGUCUGGUUUAGGCACCAGACUCACGUUAAGCAGGAUUGUGCUGGAGAUGGUCAGUUUUCCCACAGAAGCCGUUCCAUUUGGAUGUCAGGGGAAUCUCGCUACAACAAAGGCUGAUGUGGAGGGUUUUUUCCUCAAACAGAGAUAGAUGCAAAAGGUUCUGCCUCAAGGUUAUCCAUUGUACACUAUAUUGACUGGAUGUUUAAACACCGCGCUUCAUGCAGAGACAGAAAUGAAUGAUGAUCAAUGCUUAUCAAUUAAAAUCUAAUCCUAUCCCCCCUGUAUUUGCAUGCUGAACUUUGACCUACAAGCAAUUCUCUGACAAGAAUUAAAUCUCCUUUUACCAGAGAGUGCUGGAAUUAUGGUCAGGGCUGUAAUAUUCACUCAUUUAUUAUGAGUACUGCAUUUGUGCCUAGAGUUUGCUGAGGCAUUUUGCAUAUUUAUGGUCUCUUACAAGGGAGUUUAUAAACAAUUAGCAUUAAAGGGCAAUUGUGUUAUCCUUCUGAUAACAGGGCUAAGACUGGCAGGAGGGGAAGUGAAGACUACGUGUUUUAUGGCUGUAAUUUAAAUUAACUAUUUCAGAGAUUGAAAGUAAAUUAAAAUAUAAUUUACUAUUUCCUAGAUUAAAACUGAUGGAGAAAAAACCCUCCGUUAUGAGCACUCUCAGAUCUAUGCAUCAUCUAGCUCAGUCUAAACACACAGAUAUAAAUCCUUUUUUAAAUCUAUCUACUACCUAAUAGCCCAGGCCCAGCACUGUGAUAGGUAUGUUAUAGAUAGGAGAUGCCAGCACUGCAUCACCCACUGAGCGCCGGCCCAAGGGCCCUGGUAACAAAGAGCUCCAAUCCCGCUCAGCGCAGUGCUGCACUGAGAGCUGCGCACAGAGCAGCCGGGAGGCUGGGCCUGCUGCAUCAUGUGAGAGCGGGGGGAAGGCAGGAUGGAUUUUCAGAUCUGAACUCUGGUCGGCACUAUUGCUGAACACCGUUUAACUGGCUGCGCAGUGCGAUAACCUUUGUUCUUAACCGAGAGGCAGAAUGGAGCACUAAAUGAAGGAGGCCACUUAGACUCCAAGUGGAGAGCUUUAAAAUGGGCAGCUGUUCUAGCUGGUUACUUCUGAUUUAUUAUAAAGGCAUCUGUGGGCGUUGUCAAUUGUCUUCCAUCAGUCGUGUUAAACAAAACUGCAUUCUUAUAAGGCAGUUUAUCCUCUGCACACAGCCACGCUCUGAUCACUGCUGUCAAACACACAGCAAAUGCACGCGAAGAAAGCAGAGCGUGUGAUGACUGUCACAAAACCCUUUUUCAUUUUAAUAUACCAGAAAGAAGCAUGUUAGUAAAGCCAUUAGCAACUAGCAGCACCUCACAGCCUCAGUGUUUUUUGAGACCCAACAUGACUGUUAAAGGUCUGAGGCUUUCUGGAUUGGGCAAAAUUCUUUUGAUGACUUGUCACAGAAGAUCUUUGCUUUAUUAAAAGCAAAAACAAACCCUGCAAAUUAGUUUUGUAAGAAGGAGAGGUGUAGAGAUACAGGGAUGGAAGCACCUAUGGAGAAAACCAUCAGCACCAUCUCCCUGUUUGUAUUUCUUGAUGUGACAUUCAGUAUCACGAGGGAAAGGGGCAACUCUGCAUCUUCCCCACCCCUGAGCUGCUUCCAUCCCCUGGAUGCGUCACAAAGUCACUCACUAUUCCAUCACCUUUUUAUUUCUUCUAGUUUGUUAACACAGCCACAGUGUAUGGAGAGUUCUGCCCAUCCCUCAGCACCGAACACCCAAAAUGGAUGGAACAGAUGUUUUCAGCUGCGGUUCAGAUUCUGGAUGAAUUGUUUAUAAACAUCUCGCCUAGAAGUGUGAAGGGGCUGAGCUGGUAUCAUCAAAGAUGACAAAUUCUGCCACGGCGCUCUUAGAUUUAAUGGCUACUGAAUGUAGGUUAAUAUGGGAUUCAAUAGGAAAUCUGGCUUCUGUAUCGUUAAGUAUUACAGGAAACGAAGGAACUUGUCAGUCGUCUGCAGAUUGCUAAUUGCUACUUAUUGCAGAGGCAAGAGUUUAAUUUGGGUGCGUUAUCACGGUAAUAGUGUGCACUACCCUGGGGAAAAACAAAAACCUCUACUCCUAAUCUGAGUGAUAAUCUGACCUGUGGGAUUUGGGACCUUAUUUUGCAAGAUUAUGGUAAAUAAGAACUUCACAGUAAGUGGUGUAACAGUAUGCAGUAGUGUCCUGCAGGGUGGGGAUGUGGGCUAGAGUAUAGUAGCGACUCUCCGGUAUGAAAGUGCCUCUUUCCUUGUCCCUUAAUUUAGCCAUUCCUGAGCUGCACAUGAUUUAUUCUUCGUGAAGAUGCAUCAAAAAUGCAGAUCUCGUCUAUUCUAAAUGAAAAUCACAUCCUAUUAUUAUUGUUAAUGCUUUGUAUUUAGAGUAGUGUCUAAAGGCCUGGGAUUAAUUCGCGACCUCUUCAUGCUCGGAGCUGUGCAUACACACAGUAAGCUCAUUGCCCCAAAGACCUUACACUUUAAUUAAAUAAAGGUUGGAGGAAGGAAGUUUUAUUACCUCUGUCACAAAUGGGAAAUGAUAAAAGAGAGAAACUUAAAGGACUGAGAAUUACACUCCUCCUGCAAUAAGUCCUGUAUUUGCCUGUAAUAUAUCCUCCCUUCCUGCUUUUGUUAACUUGCUGUUAAUUGGUAGCUGCUUGGUCUCUCCCCCAGAGAUGGACUUGACUAUAAUUCUGCAUAUUGUUCAAGGUUGUAUGGGAUGAAAAGGAUUAUAGACACAGAUACUCUUUAAUUUAGAUCUGAUCAAGUUAUUCUGAGGAAAUAUUUCACAUAUUCAUUCACGUGAGCCUUGUGUGCACUGCUUGUUGCCACCUAAGCAUGCUAGUGUGCCUAUAGACUGAGUACACAUUUUAAUGCACAGCAGCAUUAAACCAUGCUGUUGUUCUUAUUCCAUAUAGUUUGCUCUCAGAUAUUUUCAUAAAUGGUUAGAAAUAGCCCUCAAGAUGUUGGACAAUUCCACAGGGUUCCUAGGAGGCUUAAAACACCAGCGCACUCUUAGUCUGCUGGUCUGCUUCUUCCUUACCAGAAAGCUUCUUCUACAGAAGGGGCUAAAUGUAAUUAUAGAUAUUUUAAAUUAGAUCUUCCAGCUUAACAUUAAAAUAUAAAGCUAAAUCUGUACAGAUCUUGCUUGAGAAUGACAUUUUCUUUGGAGAGGAACAUAAAUGUGAGGGUAACUUGUUUUCCUUUUGCUCAUCAGUCUGAGUGUGGACAAUCCGUGUGGGGAGCUGGGAUAGAAACUCAGCCACAUGUUUAGAUGUGAGGGGAAGCGGGGGAGAAGAAAGGAGAACAAAACAAAACAAGGAACGGGUAAAAUCUAAGUACAUUCCAACCACUCUGCUCAUAUCUUUGCAUUUUGGUGUUUCAGACAUCAACAAGAGUAAUCCUUUAUAUUGAAGUGCCUUUGUCUCAAGGGUGGAGUCCCCUCACUUCUGUCCUAUCCUGCUCCGUCUGCUAAAUGGGUACAGAUAUUUUCUGUCAGAUUCCAGGUUCCCGGAGUUAAAAAGACUCCAGAGUUCUCAUUUUUAUUUAAUAAUAAGGAGCAUUAUCUCUACUGCCGUUGAAGGUUAUGUCCAUCUGCUUUUUGUUUUAAAAAGAUGUUCAGUGCUCAGAAAUAGCAACAUGUCUCAGGCUCCUUGAGCUUUUCUAAUAGAUCAUUCUUCCUCACAGACACCGUCGCUGCUGGGAGUGUAAGUGUGCAAAGUAAGAAACCUUUAAAGGUUUAAAUCCCUGCCAGGCAGGGGGGUUGGAACUACAUGAUCCUUGAGGACCCUUCCAACCCGGGUCAUUCUGUGAUUCUGUAAAGCAUGAAACUACAGAAUUUCCUCAGCUGAGGGGACGACCUCAGCACAUGGGAAAGGACACCCCCAGAGUAAAUGCCCUUGAUGGAAAACAAUCCGCUGGGGCUUUGUUACAAAGCAUGCAAACAUCCUGAGGAAGUGGCAGUCGUUGGCAAUAAACACAGCAUGUAAACGACUACCUGCAUCUCGUUAGCUGUUUGUGGGGCAGCUGCCCGACUUGUAAACUCCCGUCCCCGUCCACCCGGAUACUAUAAAACAAUCGGUGUUUGGUUUCUCUGGGGUUAAGAGUUCUGCCCGUGAUAGCUGGCAAGGGCACAGAGAACACGGGCUCUUUAGCGGUGGGUAUGUGGAGAAAACCUGGAGGGCUGUAUUUUUACGAGGGCAGUGGCCGCAAUAUCCCUCCAGCAGCACAUAGGAAGGCUUUUGUAGCAGGGAACCUGCAUUAAGAGCUGCUGUGGGGUGGGGACAGUGGGAGCAAGCAUGAGGUGUGGGUGUGUAAGGCCCGGCGGGAGGCAGCGCGCUUUGUCGUCUGGCGCCUGAAGGAACAGCGCUGUAACCCGCCCCGCUGAGGGCCGCAGUGAAGCGGGGCUCGAGGCCUCCACACCCCCCACACGGCGCCGUAGGGAGCCCUGAGGGACGGCCCUGUCCCUUCCCGGCUCCUCGGUUCCCUCAGGCCGAUCUCGCUCCGCUGAGGGCGCCGUGCCGGUCCCGCAGUGCGCAUGGCAGGGGGGAGGGGAGCGCAGGCGCGAUGUAGGCGCUCUGUGGCGGCGGUGUGGCCGGGGCGCUGCCUCCUUCCCGAGCGGUGCAGCGCUCCUUAACGCGGAGACAAAGCGCUGCACCGACACACCCCCCUCCGUAG